rnacentral:rRNA from 1 species
AUUGAACGCUGGCGGCAGGCUUAACACAUGCAAGUCGAGCGGGGGAAGGUAGCUUGCUACCGGACCUAGCGGCGGACGGGUGAGUAAUGCUUAGGAAUCUGCCUAUUAGUGGGGGACAACAUCUCGAAAGGGAUGCUAAUACCGCAUACGUCCUACGGGAGAAAGCAGGGGAUCUUCGGACCUUGCGCUAAUAGAUGAGCCUAAGUCGGAGUAGGUAGUUGGGGGGGUAAAGGCCUACCAAGGCGACGAUCUGUAGCGGGUCUGAGCGGAUGAUCGGCCACACUGGGACUGGGACACGGCCCGGACUCCUAGGGGAGGCAGCAGUGCGGAAUAUUGGACAAUGGGGGGAGCCCUGAUCCAGCCAUGCCGCGUGUGUGAAGACGGACGUAUGGUUGUAAAGCACUUUAAGCGAGGAGGAGGCUGCUCUAGUUAAUACCUAGGGAUAGUGGACGUUACUCGCAGAAUAAGCACCGGCUAACUCUGUGCCAGCCGCCGCCGUAA